rnacentral:rRNA from 1 species
GACGUAGGGGGCAAGCGUUGUUCGGAAUUAUUGGGCGUAAAGAGCUCGUAGGCGGUCUGUCGCGUCGGCUGUGAAAACCCGGGGCUCAACCCCGGGCCUGCAGUCGAUACGGGCAGACUAGAGUGCGGUAGGGGAGACUGGAAUUCCUGGUGUAGCGGUGAAAUGCGCAGAUAUCAGGAGGAACACCGGUGGCGAAGGCGGGUCUCUGGGCCGUAACUGACGCUGAGGAGCGAAAGCGUGGGGAGCGAACAGG